rnacentral:sRNA from 1 species
GCUGAGUGGGGCGAGGUGGUGGACACCUGUAUCCCAGCUACUCAGGAGGCUGAGGCAGGAGGAUCACUCGUGCCUAGGAGUUUUGCGGCCAGCCUGGGCAACAUAGCAAAACCUUGUCUCAA